GAGCCCGUGGCUCAAUGGUAGAGCGUUCGACUCAAAUACCAAAGGUCGCGGGUUCGAAUCCUAGGGGUUCC
rnacentral:tRNA from 1 species